UAAAGACUCAUCGCUGAUAGAUAGGCAUGCGUUCCAUUAGGCAGUUGGCGGGGUAACGGCCCACCAAACCGACGAUGGAUAGGGGUUCUGAGAGGAAGGUCCCCCACAUUGGUACUGAGACACGGACCAAACUCCUACGGGAGGCAGCAGUGAGGAAUAUUGGUCAAUGGGCGUAAGCCUGAACCAGCCAAGUCGCGUGAGGGAUGAAGGUUCUAUGGAUCGUAAACCUCUUUUAUAAGGGAAUAAAGUGCGGGACGUGUCCCGUUUUGUAUGUACCUUAUGAAUAAGGAUCGGCUAACUCCGUGCCAGCAGCCGCGGUAAUACGGAGGAUCCGAGCGUUAUCCGGAUUUAUUGGGUUUAAAGGGUGCGUAGGCGGCCUUUUAAGUCAGCGGUGAAAGUCUGUGGCUCAACCAUAGAAUUGCCGUUGAAACUGGGAGGCUUGAGUAUGUUUGAGGCAGGCGGAAUGCGUGGUGUAGCGGUGAAAUGCUUAGAUAUCACGCAGAACCCCGAUUGCGAAGGCAGCCUGCCAAGCCAUGACUGACGCUGAUGCACGAAAGCGUGGGGAUCAAACAGGAUUAGAUACCCUGGUAGUCCACGCAGU
rnacentral:rRNA from 1 species